rnacentral:rRNA from 1 species
ACUGCUCAGUAACACGUGGCUAAUCUGCCCUUAGGACGAGAACAACCCCGGGAAACUGGGGCUAACUCUUGAUAGGCGAAGAACUCUGGAAUGAGUCUUUACCUAAAUAGAUUCACGUUAUCCUCGUGAACCUGCCUAAGGAUGAGGCCGCGACCGAUCAGGUUGUUGGCGAGGUAAUGGCUCACCAAGCCUUUUACCGGUGCGGGCCGUGGGAGCGGGAGCCCGGAGAUGGGUACUGAGACAAGGACCCAGGCCCUACGGGGCGCAGCAGUCGCGAAACCUUUGCAAUAAGCGAAAGCUUGACAGGGCUAUCCCGAGUGCCAUCCGCUGAGGAAGGCUUUUACCCAGUCUAGAACGCUGGGGGAAUAAGGAGAGGGCAAGUCUGGUGUCAGCCGCCGCGGUAAUACCAGCUCUCCGAGUGGUGUGGAUGUUUAUUGGGCCUAAAGCAUCCGUAGCUGGCUAGGUAAGUCCCUUGUUAAAUCCACCGAAUUAAUCGUUGGAUCGCGGGGGAUACUGCUUGGCUAGGGGACGAGAGAGGCAGACGGUAUUUUCGGGGUAGGGGUGGAAUCCUAUAAUCCCGGGAAGACCACCAGUGGCGAAGGCUGUCUGCUAGAACGCGCCCGACGGUGAGGGAUGAAAGCUGGGGGAGCGAACCGGAUUAGAUACCCGGGUAGUCCCAGCUGUAAACGAUGCAGACUAGGUGUUUGGACGGCCACGUGCCGUUCUAGUGCCGCAGGGAAGCUGUUAAGUCUGCCGCCUGGGGAGUACGAUCGCAAGAUUGAAACUUAAAGGAAUUGGCGGGGGAG